UAUAUUUAGGUGUAUGAUGCACAAAGAUUUUUGAUAUCUUAGGGAAUAGUUUGAAUCUGUUAAAUAUAA
rnacentral:tRNA from 1 species